GGAGGCACAGACGGGGGCCCGUGGGGGCAGGACGGCAGCCUCCCCGAAGCACAGGGCCAGGUGCUGAGCUGGGAAGGCACCAUCAUAACGCCCUGGAGGGCCGGGCUUGAAAUGAGAACUCAGAAAACCACACCAGAGCAUAGCCCACCUCCCUUCUCUUCCCUGACCGUGCCCCCCAGCAGAGGACCCUGGCCCACAGCCAAGCCACACCCACGCCACUCCUGCGAACAGCCACUUCUAAGUAUGAGGAACCAAGGAAACGUUACUAAGACAACUUGGUGGGGGGAGCCAGUGUUCGCAGACCCUAGGAUCCCUUUACAGUUUCUGAGCACAAGACUCCAGCCUGCCCAUGUGAUUUCACUCUCUACAGCCAGUGGCCGCACCUUUUGUCAGAGGCCUGCCCGGGCUGCUGGAAACUGCUUUGGCUGCGAGUGUUGAGAGCUGGCAGUGCCUUGAACCAAUGACUGACAGGUGUGCCUGCCACAAUCUGACAGUCCAUGUUCAAUUAUCUGAGGUUCCCUGCCAGUUCCUCACUCCCUCUGUGGGGAAUGGCCUUUCCCCCAAGAGGUUUGCACUGACCACUUACCUCUUCCCACUGGUGAAUAUAUCGAAUGAGGCGGGAGAGGCGUAACAGGCGUAAGAGGCUGAGGAUCUUCGUGAAGCGGACAAUGCGCAGGGCCCGGGCAGUCUUGUAGACCUCCGAGUCGAUGCGUGUCUCCACAAUGAGGAAGAUGUAGUCCACGGGGAUGGAGGAAAUGAAAUCUACCAUGAACCAGCUUUUCAGGGAAGCCAGGAGGAAGGAAGUGGGAAAGAAAGAGGUAAGCUUUCCUCGACUCUUCAGAGGGUCUCACUGUAAACCAAAGUGCCCCUGCCUGCAGAGUUCCAGGUUGCAAAGAAAUUACUUCAUAGCAAA